GAUCAAAGAUCGACUUACGUGUGUGAGUGUUAUUUUUCAGAUAUUUGUCUUGAAUUUAAUUUUCUAAGUUCAAUUAUUUACAGUUAGUUUUUUUGCACUCCCUAAAUUACUAACCACGCAAUAAAUAUUUACAAAAAUAAAAGCAAGAAAAAUAAAUUCCUAAACUAUUACAUGGCUAUGGGACAGAUACAUAAUAAUCAGGCGAGAAAGAAUAAAUUUACAACCUAUACAUUUGUUCCUAAUAUUAUAAAUAAAACAAAAUUAAAAUAAGGAAAAUAAUGAAGCAAAAAUAGAAUAGAUAAAAG
rnacentral:lncRNA from 1 species